UUAAUUUGAUGACAUCAGUACUAGUAAAGCACCUUGAACACAAGGCCAUACUGGAACAACCUAGAUGCAACUCAGCAUUGUGGAAGUGAUAGCUGCUCUUGCAGAACAAUCAAGAGCUCAGGCUUCAGCAGCAACCAUGGUUGCUAGUAUAAAGUGAUCUUGUGAGGCAUAUGAAAAAGACACUGCAUUUAGCUCUCGGCAGCAAAGAUUUGGAGGCGGUAAAGUGGAAUGACAAACUCCGCAAGGCUUUUGAUGAAUGCAUAAUCCAGCUGUCAAAGAAGGUCAAUUUCCCUCCAAUUGAAACUUUACCAGUAAUUUGUACUUGCUGCUCUUUGCCUUUUCUUCCCUUGCUAAUUUGAUGCCAGUAUUAUGCUUCUUACUUCUUAGCUUGGUUUGCAUAGUACUAUAUGAGAUCAUAACUUAGUUGGUGUUGUUGAUCAAGUAGGUGAUGCUGGACCAGUUCUUGACAUGAUGUCUGUGAUGCUCGAGUACAUAUCAUGUACUCCUCUUGUUGCUAUAGCAACUACCUCAGCUGUUUAUCACACAGCUCUUGCUUCAAUACCGAAUUUGUCAUAUCAGAACAAGGUAUUUCCAGAAGCACUUUUUCAUCAAUUGCUGUUAGCGAUGGUUCACCCUGAUCAUGAAACACGUGUUGGUGCACACCACCAGAGAACACUCUCGAGGGCUGUAUCUGUCUUCUCAUCUUCAGCUGCUUUGUUUGAUAAGCUGAGAAGGAAUAAAAGCUCCUUUAGAGAAUAUUUACAUGAUGGAAGCAUGAAUAGAAUUUUGCAUUGAUGAUGAAACUGCUAAUGCCAAUGACUUGCGAGGCUUGCAAAGCUUGAGACAAAGCCUCAGAUUUUCUUCAGUGCCUCGGAAAUAAACGAAACGUCACUACAUCAAUUUUUGAGGCUCUUGCUCCCAGUUUUCAGAUUGGAUUUUCUUUAAUGAGCCAUUCACUAGGAGGAACAGGUGAAGCAAUUUAUCAUUUGCCUAGAGUUAACCAAAGUGCAUGUUAAUUUGGUUUCUGAUAAGUACCUAUUAUCAACAUAUUCCUUUUUUGGGGCAUCCUCAUAACAAUUUUUUUAACCAGUAGUAUCAAUAUAUUCCUUUUUUGAGGGCAUCCUCGUACCAUUUUUUAACACUACAGAACAUAGCAGCCAUGUAUGAUGCAGGUUAUUGUCACAAGGAUAGAAAAAUUGGUCAGUAACUAACACAAUAUUACAUCAUCAGUUGUGAUUGAAUUAUAUUCCCUCCAUUCCAAAUUAUAAGUUAUUCCAAGAAUCUUAGAGAGUCAGCAUUUAAGUUUAACCAAAAUUAUAAAAAGAUACUAAGAUUUAUAACAUAA